GCCUCACUGGCUCAGGCAGUGGAGCAUGUGACUCUUGAUCUCGGGAUUGUGGGUUCAAGCCCCACAUUGGGUG
rnacentral:tRNA from 1 species